rnacentral:rRNA from 1 species
UACGAAGGGGGCUAGCGUUGUUCGGAAUUACUGGGCGUAAAGCGCGUGUAGGCGGGUCUUUAAGUCAGGGGUGAAAUGCCAGGGCUCAACCUUGGAACUGCCUUUGAUACUGGAGACCUUGAGUCCGGGAGAGGUGAGUGGAAUUGCGAGUGUAGAGGUGAAAUUCGUAGAUAUUCGCAAGAACACCAGUGGCGAAGGCGGCUCACUGGCCCGGAACUGACGCUGAGGCGCGAAAGCGUGGGUAGCAAACAGG